rnacentral:rRNA from 1 species
GGGGAAUAUUGCACAAUGGAGGAAACUCUGAUGCAGCAACGCCGCGUGGAGGAUGACGCAUUUCGGUGUGUAAACUCCUUUUAUAGGGGAAGAUAAUGACGGUACCCUAUGAAUAAGCACCGGCUAACUCCGUGCCAGCAGCCGCGGUAAUACGGAGGGUGCAAGCGUUACUCGGAAUCACUGGGCGUAAAGGAUGCGUAGGCUGGAAAUCAAGUCGAAAGUGAAAUCCAACGGCUUAACCGUUGAACUGCUUUCGAAACUGGUUACCUAGAAUAUGGGAGAGGUAGAUGGAAUUAGUGGUGUAGGGGUAAAAUCCGUAGAUAUCACUAGGAAUACCGAUUGCGAAGGCGAUCUACUGGAACAUUAUUGACGCUGAGGCAUGAAAGCGUGGGGAGCAAACA